UCCAGGUGGCAACUCUGCUGCUGCUGCUGCUGCUGCUGCUCUGUGCUUCUCCACCUGCUCUCAGCUCUGCACAGAAACGACUGGAUCACCCACGGAGUGCGAACUCCAGUUCAGAGAUAGACAGGGAGUUUGUCCUGUGAGUGGUGGGAGGAUGCAUUUGCAUAUCUGCAAAUGCGGUCAGACUUCUGAGGACAGUUCGGCAUGGACACACGAAGCUGCACUCGGUUCUGCAUUCCGCGAGUACAUCAGAUGGUUAUCACAAGAAAUUCAUGGUUCCCGAUCAGGCGCCGUACAUUCAUCACAAAGAGGUACUAAAGGCGUUUCCCUGCUGCUUCACACCUGACCUAAUUGAACGGCUGGCUGCCAGGCUUCAGCAGCACUCGGGCGACAUGCUGAGGGAAGUAAUUCAAUCAUCUGAGUCAGGUGUGGCUGGAGCAAAGAGACAUCUGAAACAGGAAGGGCRGCCGGCCCCCCGGAGGACCAGGGCUGAGAAACGGUGCUCUGAAAGCACAGCAGGGCUCAUUUGCCUCAGUUAAGAUUUCCUGGCAGCUUUGGGAAGACGAGCAGCAAACGUUUCAGGGCCGGGAAGG